GACGGAGGGUGCUAGCGUUGUUCGGAAUUACUGGGCGUAAAGGGCGCGUAGGCGGCUACGGCAGUCGGGUGUGAAAGCCCUGGGCUCAACCCGGGAAUGGCAUUGGAAACUGGCGACCUAGAGUGCGGUAGAGGGUAGUGGAAUUCCCGGUGUAGCAGUGAAAUGCGCAGAUAUCGGGAGGAACACCGGUGGCGAAGGCGGUUCUCUGGGCCUGUACUGACGCUGAGGAGCGAAAGCGUGGGGAGCAAACAGG
rnacentral:rRNA from 1 species